rnacentral:rRNA from 1 species
CAGACGAUGCGUCAUGCAUAUCAAUAAGCGGAGGAAAAGAAACUAACAAGGAUUCCCUCAGUAACGGCGAGUGAAGCGGGAAGAGCUCAAAUUUGAAAUCUUGAAAGGUCACCUUUCACGAAUUGUAGUUUAAAGAAGUGUUUUCUGUUACGAUCGUAAUAUAAGUUCUUUGGAAUAGGACAUCACAGAGGGUGAGAAUCCCGUCUAUGAUUGCGAUUUGUAGCUUUGUGAUACACUUUCAAAGAGUCGGGUUGUUUGGGAAUGCAGCCCAAAACGGGAGGUAAAUUUCUUCUAAGGCUAAAUAUUGGCGAGAGACCGAUAGCGAACAAGUACCGUGAGGGAAAGAUGAAAAGAACUUUGAAAAGAGAGUUAAAUAGUACGUGAAAUUGUCAAAAGGGAAGCGUUUAACACCAGUGUUGUUUUCUGAAAAUCAACCUCUGUUAGCUUUAUGCAUGUUUGUUUAGACCUAAUCAGCUAUCUUGCAUGUUCUAUUGUUUGCAGUGGUGCACUUUUCAGUUUACAGGUCAACAUCAGUUUUUUUUACCGUAAAAAAGUUAAAGAAAGGUAGCUCAUGGCUCCGGUCGUGAGUGUUAUAGUCUUUUUCCUAUGCGGUAGGAGAGACUGAGGUCUGCAGUGUAGGCUAUUUGGCUAGAUACUCAGGUGCUAUGUGAUACCAUUUCAUAAACAACUUGUUGAUUAUGUUUUGUCUAUUGCAUACUCGCUUGUACUAUCAUACCUACGCUUAGGAUGUUGAAGACUCUACAGAGAUA